CCUACGGGGGGCAGCAGUGGGGGAUAUUGCACAAUGGGGGGAACCCUGAUGCAGCGACGCCGCGUGGGCGAUGGAGUGCUUCGGCAUGUAAAGCCCUAUCAGCAGGGAAGAAAAUGACGGUACCUGACUAAGAAGCCCCGGCUAAAGACGUGCCAGCAGCCGCGGUAAUACGUAUGGGGCAAGCGUUAUCCGGAUUUAUUGGGUUUAAAGGUUGCGUAGGCGGAAUAUCAAGUCAGCGGUAAAAAUUCGGGGCUCAACCCCGUCGUGCCGUUGGAACUGAUGUUCGUGAGUGGGCGAGAAGUAUGCGGAAUGCGUGGUGUAGCGGUGAAAUGCAUAGAUAUCACGCAGAACUCCGAUUGCGAAGGCAGCAUACCGGCGCCCAACUGACGCUGAAGCACGAAAGCGUGGGUAUCGAACAGGAUUAGAUACCCCAGUAGUC
rnacentral:rRNA from 1 species